AACUGGGCCACAGUUAGGAAGUUCUCAAUUAAAAUUAGCUGUCAUUAUUCCUAGUAUUAAUAUGGUGAUGAACAGCUAAAGAGCAUUUAAAUAAUUAUCAUUAAUAUGGAUAAAUUUUGACCAUACCUGAAUAAAUAUUUAUAAUAUAACUGUUGAGAGUAUACAAGUUUAAUAUUUUAGGGAAAUACAAUGUCAAAUUCUAUCAAGCUCUAUUCUCAAACUAAAACAAUAGCAGUUACCCUCAGUGACUUACGGUAUUUAUUUACUAAAUGCCAAAGCAGAUAGUCCAAUAGGAAAUACGUAGCUAAAUGGCCUGCGAAGAGAAGGGAAUGUCAAAUAACAGGCAAAAUAGAAUCUGACACCCUAGGUCUCAGCAAGUGUUUUGAAUGGACAAUAAAGAAAGUGACUAGAAUGUAACCUCUGAAAAAAUGUUGUGAAGCACCAAUGGCCUUGAAAAAAUCUAGGGAGCUGAUGUAAAGGACAUCCACUUCAUAAUGACAAUUAUUGAACAAAUUACUUGUUGGAGAUGGAGUUGCAGACAAAACAAAUAUUUACCACUGCUUUAAAAUACAUUUAUUGUACUCAGGAGAAGAGUCUGGAACUGUGGUUUCAGAAUGAGCUUAUCCAAAAGUAAGAAGAGGACUGGGGCAUACCUUUUAAAAUAAUAAUGAUAUAUUUAUAAUCAUCCUAGUAUGAUUUAUUUACCUUUUAGUAAAUCAAGUUCUCAGAAAACUAAAGUAAAAAAAUCUUAACAUUACAUAUGCAGGACUUAAUCUGAAUAAUCAUAAAUUUUCAUAAACUUAAUUUACAUACCACACCAUAGUAGCUGUGAUAUAGUAAAUUAAUAAGUUUUUUGUACUAUGGUGUAGCUCUUUCAUCCUAAGAAUAAAAAAGAUUCUAUUAUGUCAAAAGACAUGCAUCUGGAUGGUUAAAAAAAUCCAAUCAUACAUAACUGAAGAAAAUGUAGGUAUUUUAGUGGAAUAAGAAUGUGAUAUAUGAAAACAGAAAAAUAAAUAUCUUCAAUGUUACUUAAAGAAACAGAAUUAACAAAGAUGUAUCAUGGAAGAGAGGAUAGUUCUGUAAAAACACGUAAAAUAACUUUCAAAGAUGAAAAUUUUACAUAUGUAAAAACAUUUGUCAAUGAAAGUAAUAAUAAUUCCAUUCAUGCAUUUGUUCAUGUAUAACCAAUAACUUACUUGUGAUGCCAUAGAAAAAAUUCAAGCAUCAAACUGAAAAGCAAAUUUUAAUAGGUAAGAAACUAGUGGCCUUUAAGCUGACAAUAUAUUUGUUUGAAUAAAAAAUAUUAUUAUUUUAAAAUAAUCAAAUUAGCAAAAUACAAAAAAAAGAACAUUUCACAUGAACAUCUUAAUUUUUGGUAUGUGUUUAAAUAUCAGGACAUUUACUCAUAUUCUUCAUAAACAGAGUUCAUAAGUCUUAGUAGAUGCUGCCAUGUGUAGGCGGGUUGUCUUCUCUAAUUAUCCUCAGUCCCCACCAUUCCAUAGUGCCCCCAGUAGAGAUAUUACUGACAUUUUUCAUUUAUUGCCAUAAUUUAGCUGUUGUUUUUCACAGUCAGCUUGCCUUCUUUAUUUUAAUAUUUAUAU
rnacentral:lncRNA from 1 species